GACGUAGGGCGCGAGCGUUGUCCGGAUUUAUUGGGCGUAAAGAGCUCGUAGGCGGCUUGUUGCGUCAGCUGUGAAAACCCGCAGCUCAACUGUGGGCUUGCAGCUGAUACGGGCAGGCUUGAGUUCGGUAGGGGAGACUGGAAUUCCUGGUGUAGCGGUGAAAUGCGCAGAUAUCAGGAGGAACACCGGUGGCGAAGGCGGGUCCCUGGACCGACACUGACGCUGAGGAGCGAAAGCCAGGGGAGCAAACGGG
rnacentral:rRNA from 1 species